rnacentral:rRNA from 1 species
UACGUAGGGGGGCAAGCGUUGUCCGGAAUCAUUGGGCGUAAAGAGCGUGUAGGCGGUCCGGUAAGUCCGCUGUGAAAGUCGGGGGCUCAACCCUCGAAUGCCGGUGGAUACUGUCGGGCUAGAGUACGGAAGAGGCGAGUGGAAUUCCUGGUGUAGCGGUGAAAUGCGCAGAUAUCAGGAGGAACACCAAUUGCGAAGGCAGCUCGCUGGGACGUCACUGACGCUGAGACGCGAAAGCGUGGGGAGCAAACAGG